CCUACGGGAGGCAGCAGUAAGGAAUAUUGGUCAAUGGAGGCAACUCUGAACCAGCCAUGCCGCGUGCAGGAAGACGGCCCUAUGGGUUGUAAACUGCUUUUGAACUAGAGAAAACCUUGGUACGUGUACCGAGUUGAUAGUAUAGUUAGAAUAAGCAUCGGCUAACUUCGUGCCAGCAGCCGCGGUAAGACGAAGGAUGCAAGCGUUAUCCGGAUUCAUUGGGUUUAAAGGGUGCGUAGGCGGACUGAUAAGUCAGUGGUGAAAUCUCUCAGCUUAACUGAGAAACUGCCAUUGAUACUGUUAGUCUAGAGUACAGAUGAUGUGGGCGGAAUAUGACAUGUAGUGGUGAAAUACUUAGAUAUGUCAUAGAACACCGAUUGCGAAGGCAGCUCACAAAACUGUAACUGACGCUGAGGCACGAAAGUGCGGGGAUCAAACAGGAUUAGAUACCCUGGUAGUCCGCACCGUAAACGAUGAUUACUCGUUGUUGGCGAUAUGACAGUCAGCGACCAAGCGAAGGCGAUAAGAAUCCACCUGGGGAGUACGCCGGCAACGGUGAAACUCAAAGGAAUUAGACGG
rnacentral:rRNA from 1 species